GCGGGCGGGCUCCGGGGGCGCCUGUGCAGCGGCGGCGGCGGCGUCGCGAGCGGCGCCUCCGGGCCGGUGAAUCAUCCCGGCAGACACCGAGAGCCGCGGCAGCAGAGAGCAGCGCCGAAAAAUGGCUGAAGCGGGCACGGGCUUUCUGGAGCAGCUCAAGUCCUGCAUCGUCUGGUCGUGGACUUAUCUCUGGACCGUGUGGUUCUUCAUCGUGCUCUUCCUCGUCUACAUCCUGCGGGUGCCCUUGAAAAUCAACGACAACUUGAGCACAGUGAGCAUGUUUUUGAACACAUUAACACCGAAGUUCUACGUGGCCCUGACAGGCACUUCCUCACUAAUAUCAGGGCUUAUUUUGAUAUUUGAAUGGUGGUAUUUUCGCAAGUAUGGAACGUCAUUCAUUGAGCAAGUCUCAGUAAGCCACUUACGCCCCCUUCUGGGAGGGGUUGACAACAACUCCUCCAACAAUUCUAACUCCAGUAAUGGGGACUCGGAUUCCAAUAGGCAAAGCGUCUCAGAAUGCAAAGUAUGGCGAAAUCCAUUAAAUUUAUUUAGGGGCGCUGAAUAUAAUCGGUACACUUGGGUGACAGGACGAGAGCCUCUGACUUAUUAUGACAUGAAUCUCUCUGCCCAGGACCACCAGACAUUCUUUACUUGUGACUCGGACCAUCUGCGCCCCGCAGAUGCAAUAAUGCAGAAAGCCUGGAGAGAGAGAAACCCCCAGGCUAGGAUUUCUGCAGCUCAUGAAGCCUUAGAGAUAAAUGAAAUUAGGUCCAGAGUUGAAGUUCCCCUAAUUGCUUCCUCUACCAUCUGGGAGAUAAAAUUGUUACCAAAGUGUGCAACUGCUUAUAUUCUCUUGGCUGAAGAAGAAGCAACAACCAUUGCGGAAGCAGAAAAGCUGUUUAAGCAGGCCCUGAAGGCUGGAGAUGGCUGUUACCGGCGUUCUCAGCAGCUACAGCAUCAUGGAUCCCAGUAUGAAGCCCAACAUAGACGAGACACCAAUGUCUUGGUCUACAUCAAAAGAAGGCUAGCAAUGUGUGCCAGAAGACUCGGGAGGACCAGGGAAGCAGUGAAAAUGAUGAGAGAUUUAAUGAAGGAGUUCCCCUUGCUGAGCAUGUUCAACAUCCAUGAAAAUCUUUUAGAAGCCCUUCUGGAACUACAAGCAUAUGCUGAUGUUCAGGCAGUCUUAGCAAAGUAUGAUGAUAUAAGCUUACCAAAGUCGGCAACAAUAUGCUACACAGCUGCCUUGCUCAAAGCAAGAGCUGUCUCUGACAAAUUCUCUCCCGAGGCUGCAUCUCGGCGUGGACUGAGCACAGCAGAGAUGAAUGCGGUAGAGGCCAUUCAUAGAGCUGUGGAAUUCAAUCCUCACGUGCCAAAAUACCUACUAGAAAUGAAAAGCUUAAUCCUACCCCCAGAACAUAUCCUGAAGAGAGGAGACAGUGAAGCAAUAGCAUAUGCCUUCUUUCAUCUGGCACACUGGAAGAGGGUGGAAGGGGCUUUGAAUCUUUUGCAUUGUACAUGGGAAGGCACUUUUCGGAUGAUCCCCUAUCCCUUGGAAAAGGGGCAUCUGUUUUAUCCUUACCCAAUCUGUACAGAAACAGCAGACCGAGAGCUGCUGCCCUCUUUCCAUGAAGUCUCAGUUUACCCAAAGAAAGAGCUUCCCUUCUUUAUUCUCUUUACUGCUGGACUGUGUUCCUUCACAGCCAUGCUGGCCCUCCUGACACAUCAGUUCCCAGAACUUAUGGGGGUCUUCGCAAAAGCUAUGAUUGACAUUUUCUGCUCGGCAGAGUUCAGGGACUGGAAUUGCAAGAGUAUUUUCAUGCGUGUUGAAGAUGAACUGGAAAUCCCACCGGCACCUCAAUCUCAACAUUUCCAAAACUGAACUCAUCACCCUUCUUCCCCCACCACCAAAACCGCUCUUCCUCCUGUAUUCCUGACCUCCGCCAGUGGCACUGCCAUCCACUCAGUUGCUCAACCAGAAACUCAGCAGCCCUCCCAAGCUCCCUCUCUCCCUCCCCACAUCCCGUCUGUCUCGGCUUCCACACCCUGUCGGGCCUAACCUCUUAAGCCACUACAUUCAGUAAAUAUAAUUCACCUCUUCUUCCCCUCCUUCUCUCCCCGUGGCCUCUCUUAGUUUAGAUCUUCAUUAUUUCUUGCCUGGACGCCUGUAAGAGUCUUCACUGGUCUCUUUGCUUCCAGUCUUCUCCUCUGCCAGUCUUUUUCUCCUACUGACACAAGAAUGAUCUUUCUAAAUUGCAAGUCUAAGCAUGUCACUUCCCUGCUUGGAUUUCUCCAGUGGUUUCCCACCAUCUUCAGGAUAAAGUCCCAGCUCUUUAGCAUAGCAUGCAAGGUCCUUUAUGAUCUGGCCUUGCUUGCCUCUUCAGUCUCAUCCCUCCCAACUUUUGCACAGACACUACUCUUGGGCCAUAGUGAAUUACUCACCAUUCCCAGAUGCACCAGGCUCUUGUGUAGCUCAGUGCCUUUGCACGUGCUGUUUGCGCUGCAUGGAAUGCCCUUUCCCAUCACCACCCUGACUUGUCCACUCUACUAAUGCCUCUUUGUUCUUUUAUACUCAGCUUUCUUUCUAAGUUUCUCCUAAGCUGAGUUAGAUGUCUCUCCUCCAUGAUCCCACAGUAUUCCAUGAAUACUUAUAUUAUCACAUUUAUUGUAUUGUACUAUAAUUGUUGAAAACUUGUCUGUCUCCCUUUUAGAAUGUGAGCUCCUUGAGAGCAGAACUAUGUCUUUCUUAUCUCUGUAUCCCCAAAGCUUUGCACAGUAACUUGCACAUAGUAGGUUUUCAAUAAAUGAUUAUUAAAUAAAUAAAUGGUAGUGGUUUCUGCAGAAAGAAUCAAUGUAAAAAUCAGAUACAGCUUAGCAUUUCUUCUCUUCUUUUAUAAUUAUGGACUCAGAAUUGAAAGGUACCUUAAACAGAUUGCCUUCAACAGUAACAUGAUGGAGGUCAUCUGGACUCAUCUUCAAUACUUUCACAAUGGGGAGCUCACCUAUUCAACAGAGAAGCCCAUUUCAUUUUUGGAUCACUCAGAUCUCUUCUUUAUACUGAUAAAAUCUACCUCCCUGUAAUUUUCACUUAUUGUUCCUGUUCUACCCUCUGAAACUAUAGUGAACAAGUCUACUUCCUCUUGCAAAUUCUUAAGACAGCUAAUAUGUUCUUGGCCACCUCUCACCUCUAACUUUCUACCUUCUAUGUUCCCUAGGCAGAAUAUCUUAAAUUUCCUUAAGUCUUCUGUACAUGAUAUGAUUUCUAAACCCAGUAUCACCCAAGUUGCCUCCCUGGAUGCUCCCUAGUUAAUGGACCCAUGCUUUUUAUUAUUUUCUUCUAUUCUCAAGUCAACUUCUAAGUAAAAGUAGUUGCCAAAAGUCUGAGUAGAUUACAGUGUAACUUAGGAAAAUUUAAAAUAAGAAUACAUUUACAACAUUAGACAAUUACUGUUCCUCCUUUUAUGUUCCUCUCUUAAACUUUUUUUUAAAGCAUAUCUGUAGAAGUCAUUGUCAUUGGCCUAGUAUUCUUCAUUAUAUGAACAAAUAGCACUUGGUGGGAGUUUUGCACCAGAACAGAGCUUCUCAGCCUCUAGUGUGCAUAAAAUUCACCUGGCCCCGCCACCAGACUCUUGAGUGCUAGCACCUGGAAUCUGUUUUUAGUAAGGACCCCAGCAGAUUCUGAGGAUGGGGGUUGAGGACCACGUUUCCUUUCAGGAACACCAAUCUCAAGAAAGCCAAAACUUUGAGCAGCCUUUUGCAGGUAGAUGGUGUACUGUCAGAGCUGGUGAGGCGAAAGCUUUCUAGGAAUCAGUGGUUUCGCCCUGGCUGCACCUCGGAAUCAUCUAGGGAGCUUAAAAAUUACUGAUGUCUGUCCUCCCUCCCCACGGGGACUCUCACUUAAUUGAUCUGGGGCACAGCGUGGGUAUCUGAGUUUUCAGACAGUCCCCAGGUGAUGUGGGGGUGCAGCCAGGGCUGAGAACCACUAUACUGAAUGAAAUGACUAAUUGCCUAAAACUGCCUUAACCAGGGAGCAGAUUGGGAAGAAUGGAGGACAUUACAUAGCAUAUGACUGGGUGUUCUCCACGAACGGCUGCACAGCCUCCAGAACAUCGGAGAGUGUGUUCAUUACCUAUGUUAGACAAACGGCCACUCUCCUCAUUUAAUGUUUCCAAAGCUUUGGUUUUGCGUCUAGGAUCAAGUGAUUGAAUAAAAUAUAAACUUGCCUUUACAGUCUUCGUAUUUUAUUCCCUACCAAGGUGUGCUGUUUUGCUUUGUUACUCAUAUUUUUCAAAUGUAGUUUAGAUAAAUUUGCUUUUAAACCUCUGUCUGGAGGAUCACAUUCAUCUUGCUCUUCAUUAAGAUUUAGCAGUUUCCAAAAUGUCUGGAGGGACUUCAUGGGGAAGGAAGAUGGAUGGCCUGAAGGAGACAAGCCCCAUCUCUCGCCUGCUCCCCCCCACCCCGCCCCCAGAGUCUUCUCCACAUUUUCACCCUUGCCACUUCAUUAGGCCCCUCAUGAAGCCCCUACAGGUUACCACAGCCACUCUAUAGGCUGCCUGCAACCAUUUGCAGCUUGUGAAAAUGAUUUUCUCAGCCCUCGUCUGAGAUAACGGCCCUGGGAUAAUGACUUUUAGUAGAUGCGGAGAGAUUGCACUGCCACCCUCCAGGCCACAAGCAGCUUGGGAACUCUCCAGCGUGUUUACAUGUUGAUAUGCAGCCAGCAAGGCAGGCCACAGUGGAGUGUGAACCACUGGAAAAUAGUAAAAUGAGAGGCUUCAACUGGCUUUCCUCCCUAAUCUAAUCUACCUCAAUGACUUAGGACUAACUCUUCCUAGAAUGUUUGGUUACCAAGAUAAGGUUGCUCAUAUAAAGAAGUUAUCAUUCCAAACCCAGCCCCUCACAGAAUGUGGGAGGGUCAGCAUUCUGACCCCUUCUACUUUGAAGGGCCCUGUCUUUCCUCCUCUGGUCUCUCUCCUUCCCUGAGACGGAGCCCCCUGACUUCUGACUCUCAUCUUCACUUAUAGGCCCUGACCUCUUUGAAGUCUGAUAUUGAUUACAGUGAAAUGUCAAUUGUCUCAUUGCAAUAGGGCACCUAGAACUUAUUCAGAUAAGCAGAGGCGUUUUGAAUGUUAACGAAGCACGUUGGGAGCCAUGACCUUCUUCUAAAUAAUGGUGUUUGGGGAAAAGGAGGAUCAGGCGAUUGAAGUGUCACUCUCUCUUUUUUAUUAGUUCAGUUGCUUUUUCUCACCACAAGACACUGAUUGAAUUAUGGUGCAUUUUGGACCGUGUAUCUCUGCCCUCUGGACAGAAGUUUUAGACAUUGAGAUAGAUGAGCUGUUCCAGGGUUGCCUGGUGUUGCUCAUUCAGACUUAACUUUUCAGGCAAUAAAUUUCCCAAGUCUAUGAGUGAAACUGCUGUUUCUCUAUAUGCAUUGGUUGAGUCUCUGGCCAGAGUAUUGACUGAUUUUCAAACGUGAAGAAAUGUAAAUCAGCAUCCCAAGCAAGGCAGGUUCCACCAAACUUUCUUUUUUUUAAUACCUCCUGAGGAAAGCCACUGACCUUUAUCUGGUUUCUAAGUGAAAGGGCUUAGCAGCAUCAGAUGACUUGUCACAUUGUCUGCCUCUUCCCUGUGGCUGAGGGGUGGGGAGGGGGAUGUGGGAAGGGGUGCUAAGGAGGAAGGUAGCUUAGUAAUCAGGGAUGCACACCUCAACUGAAAAGGUUCAAGGGAUUCUUUUCUCACUUCUCCCAAGGAUAACACAUUCUAGAUGUGAGGGAGAGCAGUAAAUCAUCACGUAUAUUGGAGGCACUGGGACUUAACUCUCUUGUGGAACCUUGUUGAGAAGGGCAGGUAUAGUCGAGGAAGGCAGGGCCCACUGUAUCCUGCUGUGCAGUGUGGGAAGAGAGGCAAUUACAGGCAUCAAACAGGGUGAGGCUCACCUUGAUUUCCAGAAGCCUCACUUUUCCACUUUUUAUCAAAAUGAGGUCAGUGCCCAAAACAAAGCAAACAAACAAACAGGUAUUUAUUUGAACCAACUUUGCAACAACAUCUCCAUUCAUUCUGCUGCCAAGCUGAGACUCCCUGAUAUCCCCUCGUUUUAGUGCAUGAAGUCGCCCAGAGUGCAGACUUUGAGUGAUGCCUUUCAUCUAACUGCACUGGUUCAUGCUAAUACUUCACUGAUUCCUUCCCCCAUGAGUCACAACUUUGGCAGUUCUAAAUCUGUUUUUGGUCAAGUCUUUAGGAUAUGAUAACUUCACCAACAAUAUCACCUUGUUCCUUGAUCCCCAUCUUCCAGCCCUUGUCAGAAUCUGGUUUAUCCAGACCACUUCAACACCUCGCUUCUCUUUAUGGAACUGAGUGUUAGAGGCAAAUGCUGUGUUUUAUGGAGCCUUGGUGGUCUCUGAUUACAUAUAAAUGAGUAAAAAGAUAUAUAUGUGUGUGUGUGUGUUAUAUAUAUUUUUAAUUUUAUAAUGUUAUCAUGUUGGGUUAAUGCAAUCAGUAGAUUUGUUCCACAUUAUCUUCUCAUAACCAGGAUUUUACAAACUCUUUCAGAGGCAGUUUGGGAAGUACUUACUCAUUCCUGGGCCCAGUAUCUCCCAUGAUGCCUUCCAACUGCAUUCAACUCUAAACUGAAAAGGAUAGGCAGUCCGUUCUGUAGGUUCCUCAGCACUUUGUUUGCCCCCUUAAACUUUGUCAUGGAGAAAGUGGAAAGCAUCCUCCCGUCCAGUCUGUGGCACCAGCUGACGC